rnacentral:rRNA from 1 species
UACGUAGGGGGCAAGCGUUGUCCGGAUUUAUUGGGCGUAAAGAGCGUGUAGGCGGCCUGAAAGGUCAGCUGUGAAAACUCGAGGCUCAACCUCGAGACGUCGGUUGAAACCAUCUGGCUAGAGUCCGGAAGAGGAGAGUGGAAUUCCCGGUGUAGCGGUGAAAUGCGCAGAUAUCGGGAAGAACACCCGUGGCGAAGGCGGCUCUCUGGGCACUAACUGACGCUGAGGAGCGAAAGCAUGGGGAGCGAACAGG